CAAAAGCUUGGUCCUGACUUUACUAUCAACUUUGAUUGAACUUAUACAUGCGAGUUUCCGCACCCCCGUGAGAAUGCCCUAAAUUUCCCCACAGCCGCGGGGAAAGAGGAGCGGGUAUCAGGCACAACUUCAAUUGUUAGCCCACAACACCUUGCUUAGCCACACCCCCAAGGGAAAUCAGCAGUAAUAAACAUUAAGCAAUAAGUGAAAACUUGACUUAGUUAAUAUCAAGAGGGCCGGUUAAACUCGUGCCAGCCACCGCGGUUAUACGAGAGGCCCGAGUUGAUAAACCGUCGGCGUAAAGAGUGGUUAAUAUUAAUUGUAGACUAAAGCUAAACACCUUCAAGGCUGUUAUACGCACCCGAAGACAGGAAACCCAACCACGAAAGUAGCUUUAUACAGUAUUGACUCCACGAAAGCUAGGACACAAACUGGGAUUAGAUACCCCACUAUGCCUAGCCCUAAACAUAAAUAUUUUCAAUACACAUUCAAUACUCGCCAGGGAACAACGAGCCGCAGCUUAAAACCCAAAGGACUUGGCGGUGCUUUAGACCCCCCUAGAGGAGCCUGUUCUAGAACCGAUACUCCCCGUUCAACCUCACCCUCCCUUGUAUCAUCCCGCCUAUAUACCGCCGUCGUCAGCUUACCCUGUGAAGGAUUUACAGUAAGCGAAAUUGGCAGAGCCCAAAACGUCAGGUCGAGGUGUAGCGCACGAGAGGGGAAGAAAUGGGCUACAUUUGCUAAAUAUAGCAAACACGGACGAUAGACUGAAACCAACAUCUGAAGGAGGAUUUAGUAGUAAGAGGAGAGACAGAGCGCCCCUCUGAAAACGGCCCUGAAGCGCGCACACACCGCCCGUCACCCUCCCCAAACCAAGCCAACAAGCCAUAAAUAAUACAAAGAAAACUACUACCAAGGGGAGGCAAGUCGUAACAUGGUAAGUGUACCGGAAGGUGCACUUGGACAAAC
rnacentral:ncRNA from 1 species